GACGAACGCUGGCGGCGUGCUUAACACGUGCAAGUCGAACGGAAAGGCACUGCUUUUGUGGGGUGCUCGAGUGGCGAACGGGUGAGUAACACGUGAGUAACCUGCCCUUGACUUUGGGAUAACUUCAGGAAACUGGGGCUAAUACCGGAUAGGAGCUCCUGCUGCAUGGUGGGGGUUGGAAAGUUUCGGCGGUUGGGGAUGGACUCGCGGCUUAUCAGCUUGUUGGUGGGGUAGUGGCUUACCAAGGCUUUGACGGGUAGCCGGCCUGAGAGGGUGACCGGCCACAUUGGGACCGAGGAACGGCCCAGACUCCUACGGGAGGGAGGAGGGGGGAAUAAUGGAACAUGGGCGGAAGCCUGGAGCAGCAACGCCGCGUGGGGGAUGGAGGCCUUCGGGUUGGAAACCGCUUUCGCCUGUGACGAAGCGUGAGUGACGGUAAUGGGUAAAGAAGCACCGGCUAACUACGUG
rnacentral:rRNA from 1 species